rnacentral:rRNA from 1 species
UACGUAGGUGACAAGCGUUGUCCGGAUUUACUGGGCGUAAAGAGCGCGCAGGCGGUCGUUCAAGUCGAGUGUGAAAGCCCCCGGCUCAACUGGGGAGGGUCACUCGAUACUGAUCGACUUGAAGGCAGGAGAGGGAAGCGGAAUUCCCGGUGUAGUGGUGAAAUGCGUAGAUAUCGGGAGGAACACCAGUGGCGAAGGCGGCUCCUCGGCUGUUCC